CAAUAAUAAAACUGACUAAAAGUUGCUCUGCUUUUUAUUACCACAAUGUUCUGGCGAUUCUAAACAGUGUCAUUGAUAAAAUACUCCUCCCACUGCACACACACUCCCUCCCCAACCCAGACUCUUCUCAUUUUAAGCAACGCCAUCAACCUUCUUUUUUUUCUUUUUAAAGAAAGCUGCUUUAUGGAGCUUCUCUUUUUUGUUGUUUUUGGAGGCCUGUAGGAGAUGGAAAGCAGGAGAGAAGAGCUGGAUGGAGAUCGGAUGUUUAAGCAAUCAAAACUGCAAGAGCUAUGAAUUUCAAUGAGUGGAAAUUUCCUUCUUGUAUCAGAUUGUGUCUUGAGGCUUCCAAAGUAAAAGGAGCACCAGGAAUCCAGCGACUUGGAUUCAAGGUGGGGAUCUGUAUCUUCAUAGCUAACUACAUUCCUGAUGUCACAUCAUCUACUUGUGCUAUUUGCCUUGUGAAGAAUGGACUCACCUUGCCUAGGAAUAGGAACCCAUCUUCCUGCGGUUAUCAGACAUAAACCUCAAUCCACAAAUUCCUAGUCUCACUGAGUAGCCCCAGCUGGCCCAAAACUUGCUACAUAGACCAGAUAGGCUUCAAACUCACAGAGAUCUGUCUGCUUCUGCCUUCCAAGUGCUGGAAUGGAUUAAAAGGUUUCCAGGACCAAGCUGUGCUGGAUGUGGAGUACAAGAAAGUGAAAAAUGAGAACGUUAGAAGGAAUAAGAUGUGUAUUUAAAUGAAGAAACACUGUCAUAGCAUUUGCUAUGUCUCAAGCACUACACUAAGGACUCUUACUCUUGUUCGUGUAAACAAACACCCUGUGAGACAGCUACUAUUAUUGCCAUCUCCAGUUUUAAAGAAACAAGGCAAAAAGAGAUCAAGUACCAUUCAUGACAUUGCACAGGCAAAUGGUACAAAACAGGCUUUGAAUCAUUGCUCCAGAGUCUGUGAUUGGUUACUGUGAAUGCUAGACUCAUUAAAGAGCCCAGACCCCAUAAAGAACUGUUCUUGGUCUCAGUGUCUCUGGUCCUGAUCAGUGGCCUGCAAUAUUGGUUCCACACUAAUAAUAACCCAGAGUUUGAAAAGUGGCACCACUUUCCCAGAGCCCUACUUUCAGAGAGAAUUGCAUUUAACUGAACUGAUUUUGCCUGGGCAUCAAGAUGUUUAAGAUUUCCCUGUGAGGAUCUAAUGUGUACCUUGGUAUGAAAAGAAAGGUAGGCUAAAUCACCCCCUUUAGCAAUCUGGGUUACCAAGUGUAGCAUGAAUCUUAAAAGUUCUUAUUAACAAAAUCAAACCUGAGGCCAGUUAUUGGGGUGAACACUGGAAGGUCAGAGAACGAGAACAGGCCACAGCUACCUCACCUCGCCGGAUCCUCAGCUGAUCUUGUCUCCUCAGACUGGAGGCCUCUGAGUCCUCAUCCAGAAUGGGUCUCAGCUGAAUUGCUACUCAAAAGCCUGAAUACUUAACCAGCCAAAUGCUUAACCAGCCAAAUGCUUAACCAGCCAAAUGCUUCUAGUUUCUGGUCCUCACGCCUUAUAUACCUUUCUGCUUUCUACCAUCACUCCUUGGGAUUAAAGGCUCGCUUUCUGGGAUUAAAGGCGUGAGUCACCAUGCUUGGCUGUAUCCUUGAACACAUGGAUUUCUGGCUCUGGAAUGCUAGGAUUAAAGGCGUGUGCUACCACUGCCUAUCCUUUAUGUUUAAUAUUGUGGCUGCUCUGUCUCUGACCCCAGAUAAGUUUAUUAGCACGCACAAUAUUUGGGGGAAUACAAUACCACAACCAAGUGUCCUCUAAUCCUAAUUCAGUGCUGUUAAAUGUUAAGACACAGCUCAUGAGUAAAGCACCUGAUUUAAGUGCAGAUUCUGAUUCAGUAGGUUUGAGGAUGAGGGAAAUUUGAGAUGUAGUGUUUCUAACAAGUUCCCAGCAAUGCUGAGGCUGCUGGUGCAUGAAUGUAGCAAGGAUUUUGAGCUAAAGCAUUGUCUUUAGACCAGAAACCUCAGCAUCUUUAGUAUGUUGGAAAUGAAGACUUUAUAUGCCCACCUAUUCCAGACUCCUGAAUAGUCUGGGCUGCAUUUUAAUUCACAUUCAAGUUCAAGAAGCUGCUUAAAAGCUACCGGCAGUUGAUAGCUUCUGGGAGUGAGAGAGUCCUUUUUCUUCAGUAGUAUGUCAUGGUAUAGGUUGUCCAUGCCUGCAGUGGAUGGCUUAUACCCAUGUGCAUAUAGACAACACUGAUUAGACUCAGAUUAAUAUUUAAUAGCUAGGACAUGAAGCUGGAAAAGGGACAUGGUGUGGACGGUAGGUGUGAUAAAAAAAAUUGUGUACACGUGAAAUUCUCAAGGAAUGAUUUUUUUAAAUUGUAUUUUUAAAAGAAGCUUCUCAAAGCCUCAGCUCCCCCACAUGUACUAGGAAUGAAUUAUGAAUGUUCUAGCCAUGUCCAGUGUGUGGCUGGCAAGCUGUAUGCAUCCCAGGAUAGCUAUAAACAUAGUCUAACACAUUUGUAGAUGGCAAUGUCAGUUUCAGUGUCAAAAGAUCAGACACCUUCAUGGGUAUUGCCUCUCCUCAGCUCUUGAGAACUCAGACACUGACUCUUAAGGUCCAGCUAUAAGCAGCCUUACUGAGCUCCUAUGCAUAUAAAUAUAAUAGAUUUCAAUGCUGGUCAUCAUGGUGUCUUGCUGCUCUAUUCCUACACUUUCUCCUACCUGCAUAGUUUUUGGUCAGCCUCAUCCAGACACUGAAGGCCUAACUCAUAUUGUAAUUCCUCCUUCUUAGAACCAUUCCCAAUUAUACAAUAUCUGAACCCAGUGGAUAUUUUUUCACACAACAGAAACACAUAAAACUUUAGCAUUAAUUCAUUUAAUUCCUGUUUUGCUUGUCAUAAAAACCAAGGCACAGAGCCCUCACUUGCUCAGAGUUGAUCCAUGGCAGUGUAGAGGUUCAAAACCAAUUAAUCUGGCUUUAGAACCAUAACAUUCUUCUCAUGGUGUGGACUUAGAGAAGAAUCUGGAAAUAAUACAUAGUACGGACAAUGAAAGAAAGAACAUUAGUUUCCUGUGUCUACUCUAACAAAGUGCCACACACUGGGUGGCCCAAAACAACAGAAAUAUGAAUAUUUCACAGUGCUGGAGGCUGGAAAUACAAUAUCAAGGUUUCAGCAAGUCCAUGUUCCCCUUGUAGGCUCUAGGGAAAGCUCCUUCAUUACCUCUUUCUAGCUUCUGAUGGUUGUGAACAAUCCCUAGAAUUCAAGGGCUUGAAGAUGCAUCACACUCUUAUCUGACUCUGUUGCUACAUUACCUUCUCAGUGUAUCUCUGUCUUCUUGUGUCUUUAUAUGGGCAUUAGUUAUUGGCCCCUGGCUAGUGCUAAUUCAA